rnacentral:rRNA from 1 species
CAAUAGCGUAUAUUAAAGUUGUUGCAGUUAAAAAGCUCGUAGUUGGAUUUCUGGCAGGAGCGACCGGUCGCACGCUAUGCGUGUGAACUUGUGUUGUCUCUGGCCAUCCUUGGGGAGAUCCCGUUUGGCAUUAAGUUGUCGGGCGGGGGAUACCCAUCGUUUACUGUGAAAAAAUUAGAGUGUUUAAAGCAGGCUUAUGCCGUUGAAUAUAUUAGCAUGGAAUAAUAAGAUAGGACUUUGGAACUAUUUUGUUGGUUUGCGUUACAAAGUAAUGAUUAAUAGGGACAGUUGGGGACAUUUAUAUUCCAUGGCUAGAGGUGAAAUUCUUGGAUUCAUGGAAGAUAAACUACUGCGAAAGCAUUUGU